GUUUCUGUAGAGUGUAGUGUUAUCACGUUCGCCCUCACACGCGAAAGGUCCCCCGUUCGAAACCCGGGCGAAACA